rnacentral:SRP_RNA from 1 species
ACUCAUGCCAGCAAGCACCUACCUCCGAACCAGGUCAGGUCGGGAACGAAGCAGCCUUAAGGAGGUGUGGACUGUGCUGGCUUUGUUGUUC